UCCGAAUUGGUGUAGGGGUUAACAUUGCCGCCUCUCAGGAAAUUUAGGUUUAUACAAACCUACCACGUGACUGGUCGCGGCAGCCCGGGGUUCGAUUCCCCGAUUCGGAA